ACCUCAGUGGCGCAAUUGGCUAGCGCGUUUGACUUCUAAUCAAAAGGUUGCGAGUUCGAUUCCCGCCUGGGGUG
rfam:Anncaliia algerae PRA339 unplaced genomic scaffold supercont2.89, whole genome shotgun sequence.